rnacentral:rRNA from 1 species
UAGAUGCGAGAGUAGAGCAUAUCAAUAAGCGGAGGAAAAGAAACUAACAAGGAUUCCCUUAGUAACGGCGAGUGAAGCGGGAAGAGCUCAAAUUUGAAAUCUUCAAGGUUCUACCUUGACGAAUUGUAGUUUAUAGAAGUGUUUUCUGUUAGUGGAGUGGCAAAAGUUCUUUGGAAUAGGACAUCAUAGAGGGUGAGGAUCCCGUAUUUGGUCAUUCCUCCUAGCGUUGUGAUACACUUUCAACGAGUCGGAUUGUUUGGGAAUGCAGUCCAAAAUGGGUGGUAAAUUUCAUCUAAAGCUAAAUAUUGGCGAGAGACCGAUAGCGAACAAGUACCGUGAGGGAAAGAUGAAAAGAACUUUGAAAAGAGAGUUAAACAGUACGUGAAAUUGUCAAAAGGGAAGCGUUUGACACCAGUGUUGUUUUUCCGAAAAUCAAUUACGAAUGUUUUAUUUUUGAGGAGUUAUGACUUCAUCGGCUUGCUCCUUUCUUUAUGAAACUUUCUUAAUGCACUUUUCGGUUAACAAGUCAACAUCAAUUUCUUUUGUUGUAAAAGGGUAUGAGGAAGGUGGCUUUCUUUUCGGAGAAAGUGUUUAUAGCCUUGUAGCCUCUGCAAUCGGAGAGAUUGAGGUCUGCAGCGUAGAUCCUUCGGGGUUAGAUACAUUUGUGCUAAGUUAUAGCUUUUCAUAGACAACUUGUUGACUAUGUUAGUCUUGUAGCUUACUCGCUUAUGCUAUUUUACCUACGCUUAGGAUGUUGACACACGCGCGUGCUCG